AAGACACAGUAUUCAGUGUCCUUUUUGUACUAGUGAUGCUCCAUAUGUUACUUUGAAGUUCAGCGGUGUUUGGUUCUCUCUGUGCUUCCUCGGUGCUUCUGUGUCAGAGAUGGUUGUGCCGUGCUCCAGUGGUAUCUCUGGGAGAUGUCAGAAGUUCAUUAUGAGCUGUCACGCUGCAACUGCCAACCCAAGCAGAGACAGGCUUCUAAGCCCCCAUAACACAAAUGUGCUUCUCAGACUGUCCUUAAGUGCUGCUUUCCAUAUGGCCUAUGGUGCACUUGUGUGUUUUGCUUUUUAACAGAGGGAGCAUGGUUACUUUCCUAUACGUGAUUUUUUUGAGAAUUUGGUUUCUUCCGUAAAACAAGCCAGGUACCCUCAGGAGGGUGUUAGUGGGGCGCAUGCUGGGGGCAGCGGAGCCCACAAGACUUUGACUAUCUCCAGGAUACCAGGCUGCUGCUGGGAAGCUCGUGCAGAUACAGUCAUCUUUAAGUUUGAGUAACAAGCAUUUAACCUCAAAUGAAGCCUCCUGCAUGCAGCGGAACAGAUAUCUUGCAGCUAUGGGAAGUUAGCAAAGGACGCGUGAAGGAAAUUAGCCACUUCUGAGAUGCGAUGUUAUUUUUAGUGCACCAGGAAAGAAAAACUAUCAACAAUUGAAGGCUUAUCAGGUGGUUGUAGAUCUUAAGUGCUGGUGUCAUUCUUAGCAGCAGGAUCUGGUCCUCAUGCUUUCCUCCUUGCUUUCUUCAUUGGAUUCGGGCAAGGUUGCACAAGGCUGGAAGAGGGAGAGACAAGGCAGAAACAGGGUUCCACUUGAAUUUUUUCCUGAGGUUUCAGGGAAUAUCUGACAAUAGUGGGUGAACAGAAUCCCAUGGACUUCUUGAUGUUUCCAAUAACACAACAACAACCUAAGCUGUUUUUGAAAGAGUUGGAGGAUAAAUCAGUCUGAGCUGAUGAAAUGUUUCUCGCUCUGCAUGUGCUGGUUAGAUUUUUAACUUGAUGCUGUCCCUUUAGCAAGAGCCUGGGAC